rnacentral:rRNA from 1 species
ACUUUGAUUAUGGCUCAGGAUAAACGCUGGCGGCGCACAUAAGACAUGCAAGUCGAACGGAAGUCGUUAUAAAAUGGAUUGAAGAUUUAUCUGAAAGAAGUUUUGUAACAAUGGCUUUAGUGGCGGACUGGUGAGUAACACGUAAGCAACCUGGCUAUUAGAGGGGGAUAACAGUGAGAAAUCACUGCUAAUACCGCAUAAGCUUGUAGUAUCGCAUGAUAUAGCAAGAAAAGGAGCAAUCCGCUAAUAGAUGGGCUUGCGGCUGAUUAGCUAGUUGGUGUGGUAACGGCAUACCAAGGCAACGAUCAGUAGCCGGGCUGAGAGGCUCUGCGGCCACAUUGGGACCGAGAUACGGCCCAGACUCCUACGGGAGGCAGCAGUCGGGAAUAUUGCGCAAUGGAGGAAACUCUGACGCAGUGACGCCGCGUAUAGGAAGAAGGUUUUCGGAUUGUAAACUAUUUUAGUCAGGGAAGAGAAAAGACGGUACCUGAAGAAUAAGCUCCGGCUAACUACGUGCCAGCAGCCGCGGUAAUACGUAGGGAGCAAGCGUUAUCCGGAAUUAUUGGGUGUAAAGGGUGCGUAGACGGGAAUACAAGUUAGUUGUGAAAGCCCUCGGCUUAACUGAGGAACUGCAACUAAAACUAUAUUUCUUGAGUGCAGGAGAGGAAAGCGGAAUUCCUAGUGUAGCGGUGAAAUGCGUAGAUAUUAGGAGGAACACCAGUGGCGAAGGCGGCUUUCUGGACUGUAACUGACGUUGAGGCACGAAAGUGGGGGGAGCAAACGGGAUUAGAUACCCUGGUAGUCCACACUGUAAACGAUGGAUACUAGGUAUAGGGUAUUAUAUGUACUCUGUGCCGAAAGCCAACGCAAUAAGUAUCCCACCUGGGGAGUACGGCCGCAAGGUUGCAACUCAAAGGAAUUGACGGA